AGGAACGUGGAGUACAAGGCAGCACCGGGUGGCAGUUCCAUUCGGAACCCAAAGAACAGCCGGGCGGUCGCGGGGCGCUGCACGUUGAGAGCUGUGCGAUGAGAGCUGUGAGCGGUGCCUGGGGGGCGCGGGUCCCCCCGUUAGCGCGGCUCUGAGAGCGCACCGCCAGCUCCCGUCCCCCUCCCGUCACUCACGCCGAAGCCGUCCCUAGCGCAGGGAGCUGGGCUGAGAUCAGACGGAGAAGUUCCUCACCGCCAGGCGAAGCGUGCCGUGACGUUGCAGAGAUCCUUUCUAUUUAGUUGGAGAACAAUAAACGUUUAUUAUCGCCGCUGCAGAUCACCAGACAAAGCUUCCCCCUCCCGCCUCCCCCAAGUACGAGCGCUGCUGCUACGGGAGAGGCUCCGGGGGGCGGCAGAGCCGCGGGCGCGAUUCGGACAGAACUUCCCCCCGUUCGGGUUUCUCUCCCGGUUCGUCCUUCGCAGGAAUCUGUUGCCGUGUGUGACAUCUCUUGCGAGCUCCCAAAGAGAACUGAUGGAGCAUACAGCUAGGGAAUAGGAUGUUGGAGAAGCUCAGGGGGAGACGCCAGGCAAUCACCAGGAUGGGGAGGAACGGUGCUCGUUGGAUAUGGGACGAGAUCUCGAAGCCCUUGUGGAUUCUCCUUCUUCUAGAGGGGAAUUAUAGUUGUGGAUUUAUUGUCCCGGUGCAGCACUUCCACCAGCGGCAGCAGCAACAGCAGCAGCUUUCUGACUCUCUUCGGUGACGGGUAUUCUUGGGUGGAUAAUACGGAUUACGUUGUUAUUGCUUAAGAAUACGCGUAGUCGAGGAGAGUACCGGCGGCGGGCAGGCAGGCAGGCAGCGCGACCGCCCCCAGCCCUCCAGCUGGCUCCUACAGCCUCUAGUUGCCAAGGUAGCACCUUUUCCAUCUUUUCCUUCGCUUCGCAGU
rnacentral:lncRNA from 1 species